rnacentral:rRNA from 1 species
GAUGAACGCUGGCGGCGUGCCUAAUACAUGCAAGUCGAGCGAACAGAUGAGGAGCUUGCUCCUCUGACGUUAGCGGCGGACGGGUGAGUAACACGUGGAUAACCUACCUAUAAGACUGGGAUAACUUCGGGAAACCGGAGCUAAUACCGGAUAAUAUAUUGAACCGCAUGGUUCAAUAGUGAAAGACGGUUUUGCUGUCACUUAUAGAUGGAUCCGCGCCGCAUUAGCUAGUUGGUAAGGUAACGGCUUACCAAGGCAACGAUGCGUAGCCGACCUGAGAGGGUGAUCGGCCACACGGGAACUGAGACACGGUCCAGACUCCUACGGGGGGCAGCAGUAGGGAAUCUUCCGCAAUGGGCGAAAGCCUGACGGAGCAACGCCGCGGGAGUGAUGAAGGUCUUCGGAUCGUAAAACUCUGUUAUUAGGGAAGAACAAAUGUGUAAGUAACUAUGCACGUCUUGACGGUACCUAAUCAGAAAGCCACGGCUAACUACGUG